rfam:Myotis lucifugus cont2.2350, whole genome shotgun sequence.
AGGCCGGAGAGAGAAGCAGGGUCUGAUCCACAGUCUCUGUGGCAGCUGCUGAUCAGCCCUUGCCUCUCUCUCUUUCUGGG